AAUCCAGUGAAUAAACAAUUUGCAGAAAUCGCAUAAAUUUCGCCAUUAAAUUAAUUACGCAAUUAAGAGAACGGUAACUAUAUAAUAUGGUUAAUUAUCUAUUAAGUUUACUUUAAUCUGCUUUUAGAUUGCCAGACAACUUUAAUGUUCUAAAGAAAUGAAUCAUUUUCUCUGUCGAUAAGAUACUGCGGACGAACAAACCAGACGUUAUUGAGGUAGUAAAAAACUUCAAUGUAAAAAUGUUGAAGCUAUUAGGUUGUGUUAUGAGAAAAUUAAUUUUGUAAAAUGGGAAAAUACGACUAACACAGUUAAGUUUUGGACAGAAGUUUUAGAGUUCAGAGAUGCCGGAGGAGUCAAUACAUUCGCACCGUUGGCACACUUCGCACUCAAAAUUAUGAGUCUUCCUUGGUCGAACGCAGAGGUAGAACGCGUAUUAAGCCAAGUGCAGAUGGUAAAAAAUAAAAUGAGAAAUAUAAUGCAUUUGAAAACUUUAAAUGCUAUUUUAGCCAUAAGAUAUGGACUCAAAAGAAGUGGGAUGUGUUGUUUCAACUACACAUUACCAACAAAAUAUUUAAAAAUGGUAUCAGAAUCUGAUAAAUAUAAAGAUUCGGUCGA